GCCAUAUUGUAUUGAAACACUGGUUCCCAUAUGAUCACCAAUAUUAAGCAACAUUGAACCUGGUCAGUAGCUAGAUGGGUGACCGCUUGGGAAUACCAGGUGUUGUAAG